AUCCUUGCGGUAGGGGCAAUGUCGCUGCAAGUGACGCCUAGCGGAUGCGCGAUGAUUGCUAGUUGAAAACUACUCCAAUUCCCGUUCACCGACCCGAAAGGGUCGGUGGCAAUUUCUGGGGCCCCCAGGGGC
rnacentral:snRNA from 1 species